rnacentral:rRNA from 1 species
UAGGGAAUCUUCCACAAUGGGCGAAAGCCUGAUGGAGCAACGCCGCGUGUGUGAUGAAGGGUUCCGGCUCGUAAAACACUGUUGUAAGAGAAGAAUGACAUUGAGAGUAACUGUUCAAUGUGUGACGGUAUCUUACUAGAAAGGAACGGCUAAAUACGUGCCAG